AAUCUGCACCCUUGAAAGCUAGGGUUUUUAUUUAUAUAAGAGAGUAGAGAUGGCGAGCUAGGGUUAGGGCUUUUGGCUGCUGCUCUCAUUUCAUCACCCCUUGGGCUUCUCCUUGCCCCAGAUCUGUACAUUCCCAGGUUCAGAAAUGGUGAAGUAUUCGAGAGAACCCUCAAACCCUACCAAGUCUUCCAAGGCUAUGGGUCAGAACCUCAGGGUUCAUUUCAAGGUGUGUGAAGCUUAAACAGAGUCAAUUUAAUAACUAAACUUUUUUACUAUGUUUUAACUACUUAGCAUUGUAGGAUGAACCUU